rnacentral:rRNA from 1 species
UUUAUUGGAGAGUUUGAUCCUGGCUCAGGAUGAACGCUGGCGGCGUGCCUAAUACAUGCAAGUCGAGCGAAUGGAUUAAGAGCUUGCUCUUAUGAAGUUAGCGGCGGACGGGUGAGUAACACGUGGGUAACCUGCCCAUAAGACUGGGAUAACUCCGGGAAACCGGGGCUAAUACCGGAUAACAUUUUGAACCGCAUGGUUCGAAAUUGAAAGGCGGCUUUGGCUGUCACUUAUGGAUGGACCCGCGUCGCAUUAGCUAGUUGGUGAGGUAACGGCUCACCAAGGCAACGAUGCGUAGCCGACCUGAGAGGGUGAUCGGCCACACUGGGACUGAGACACGGCCCAGACUCCUACGGGAGGCAGCAGUAGGGAAUCUUCCGCAAUGGACGAAAGUCUGACGGAGCAACGCCGCGUGAGUGAUGAAGGCUUUCGGGUCGUAAAACUCUGUUGUUAGGGAAGAACAAGUGCUAGUUGAAUAAGCUGGCACCUUGACGGUACCUAACCAGAAAGCCACGGCUAACUACGUGCCAGCAGCCGCGGUAAUACGUAGGUGGCAAGCGUUAUCCGGAAUUAUUGGGCGUAAAGCGCGCGCAGGUGGUUUCUUAAGUCUGAUGUGAAAGCCCACGGCUCAACCGUGGAGGG